AUUGAACGCUGGCGGCAGGCCUAACACAUGCAAGUCGAGCGGAGCGGCGGACGGGUGAGUAAUGCCUAGGAAUCUGCCUGGUAGUGGGGGAUAACGUCCGGAAACGGGCGCUAAUACCGCAUACUAUCAGAUGAGCCUAGGUCGGAUUAGCUAGUUGGUGGGGUAAAGGCCUAACAAGGCGACGAUCCGUAACUGGUCUGCAAGGAUGAUCAGUCAACCAGAAACUGAGACCGGGUCCAGACUCCAAAGGUAGACAGCAGUGUGGAAUAUUGGACAGUGGGCCAAAGCCUGAACCAGGCAUGCCGCGUUUGGGAAGAAGGUUUUAGGAUUGUAGAGCACUCUAAGUUGAGAGGCGUUACCAACAAAGUAAGCACCGGCUAACUUCGUGCCAGCAGCCGCGGUAAUUC
rnacentral:rRNA from 1 species